rnacentral:tRNA from 1 species
GGCGCAGUGGCGAAAAGGUAAACGCUCUGGCCUCCCAAGUCAGUGGGCGCUCGCCCUUGCAGGUUCGAAUCCUGUCUGCGCCA